rnacentral:tRNA from 7 species
CGCGGGGUGGAGCAGUCUGGUAGCUCGUUGGGCUCAUAACCCAAAGGUCGCAGGUUCAAAUCCUGCCCCCGCUACCA